UACGGAGGGUGCAAGCGUUAUCCGGAUUCACUGGGUUUAAAGGGUGCGUAGGCGGGCAUUUAAGUCAGUGGUGAAAUACCUGAGCUUAACUUGGGAACUGCCAUUGAUACUAUUUGUCUUGAAUGUCGUGGAGGUUAGCGGAAUAUGUCAUGUAGCGGUAAAAUGCUUAAGAUAUGACAUAGAACACCUAUUGCGAAGGCAGCUAACUACGCGAAUAUUGACGCUGAGGCACGAAAGCGUGGGGAUCAAACAGG
rnacentral:rRNA from 1 species